rnacentral:rRNA from 1 species
GACGAACGCUGGCGGCGUGCCUAAUACAUGCAAGUAGGACGCAGUUGCGAACGGGUGAGUAACGCGUAGGUAACUGCCUAUUAGAGGGGGAUAACUAUUGGAAACGAUAGCUAAUACCGCAUACUAGUAGAUGGACCUGCGUUGGAUUAGCUAGUAGGGUGGGUAAUGGCCUACCUAGGCGACGAUACAUAGCCGACCUGAGAGGGUGAUCGGCCACACUGGGACUGCGACACGGCCGCGACUCCUACGGGAGGCAGCAGUAGGGAAUCUUCGGCAAUGGGGGGAACCCUGAACGAGCAACUGCGCGUGAGUGAAGAAGGUUUUCGUGUCGUAAAGCUCUGUUGUUAAGGAAGCGGUACUUAACCAGAAAGGGACGGCUAACUACGUGCCAGCAGCCGCGGUAAUUC